rnacentral:tRNA from 1 species
GCGGGUGUAGUGUAGCGGUUAGCACAGGGGCUUCCCAAGCCUCUAACCCGGGUUCAAAUCCCGGCACCCGCA